rnacentral:rRNA from 1 species
GUGCCAGCCGCCGCGGUAAUACCGGCAGCUCAAGUGAUGGCUGAUUUUAUUGGGCCUAAAGCGUCCGUAGCUGGCCGAGCAAGUCUGUUGGGAAAUCCAGUGGCCUAACCACUGGCCGUCCGAUGGAAACUGUUCGGCUUGGGACCGGAAGACUCGAGGAGUACGUCAGGGGUAGGAGUGAAAUCCCAUAAUCCCUGACGGACUACCGAUGGCGAAAGCACCUCGAGAGGACGGAUCCGACAGUGAGGGACAAAAGCUGGGGUCUCGAACCGGAUUAGAUACCCUGGUAGUCC